UGGGCCUCAGAGGUCUGGAGAAGAAGAGAAGUGAAUGAAGAAACAGUCAGCAUCACUGGACGGGCCACCACCGCUGCAGACCCGGAUCCAAAAGUUAACUUGGAUUCAUCUCUGGACGGGGCAACGCUGGGCCUGGUUCCCACAGCCAUGAAGAGGGACCAUUUAGAAACAUGAUCCCUGCUGCUACCACUGGGUUAAACAGGAUCAGUCACACCUGUUGGACUCACAUGCAGAGACGACUGGCCCAGACACAGAAGAAGAAGAGGCAGGCCACUCUGGCAGCACGGCAAGAUGGAGCAGAUGGAGCAGACCACCAGUGUUCAGGAGCAGCUGUUGGGUGACAAGGCCCCGGAGGUGUGUGUGACCUCAGUUGUGGCAGCCUAGGACAACACUCCUGCCUCCUCCAGUGUUCAGGAGCAGCAGUUGGGUGAGAAGGACCCAGAGGUGUGUAUGACCUCAGUGGUGGCAGCCUGGGACAACACUCCUGCCUCCACCAACUCGCCCAUUGACCUGUGUGCAUGUGUGUGAGAGAGGAUCAUGCCUGCUUGUGACAAUGCAUGUUGAUGCUAACUUUAUGGUAUGGUUCCUGAUGAUGCAGACCUUUAUGGAUACUUUUUCCUACCACAGGUUACCCAUCCUGGAGGGGGACACUGAAGAGUACCUCAGUUGUGGCACAAGUAGGAGCCAGGAAAUUAAAGUCACCAGCAGAGUAUUUGAACCAGUCUUGUAGAAGUAUUAUACAGCCUUCUGUGAUGUUUUUACCAUACAGUGGGGAUAAUCUCAAGACAAAACAUCACCGUCUCUGUGGCUGCUUGGGUGUGGACACUGCUUCUGGCCAGGUUGACAAACAAGCUUUGCGUUGGAAAUUUAUUUGCACCAGAGUGUUACAAUACUUUGAAGAGUCUCCCUAAACAAAUGCUCAGUGAUACAGCAGGAAAAAAUUAUUAAAAAAAAAAAAAAAAAGAAAAAGGUGGGAAGUCUAGGACUUUUAAACUUUGGCUGCUUAGUACUAAAAAUAAUUAGCACAAGUCUGACGAAAAAGUUUUGGCAGCAGACAGUCACUGGAGAGCCCCAGCAAAGAGGUCCAGGAGGUGGUGGCCAAGGCAGCAGCUGAAGAGGGAAGGAACACGGCAGACAGUCACUGGAGAGCCCCAGCAAAGAGGUCCAGGUGGUGGUGGCCAAGGCAGCAGCUGAAGAGGGAAGGAACACGGCAGACAGUCACUGGAGAGCCCCAGCAAAGAGGUCCAGGUGGUGGUGGCCAAGGCAGCAGCUGAAGAGGGAAGGAACACGGCAGACAGUCACUGGAGAGCCCCAGCAAUGAGGUCCAGGAGGUGGUGGUGCAGCAGAUGUCCAGCAAGGUGGCACCUGAAGAGGGAAGGACAGCAUUUAGACUGGAGACAAAUGAGGCGACUGGAGGUUAUGUCACCCAGGAUGAAAACUAAAACAAAACCACAGCAGCUAACAGGAAGAUGCUUUUGCAGGGAAAUCUAGAACUCUUUAUAGGCAUUAAAGGUUACAAAAAGAAUGAUCUGAACUAGUUUCCUUCACCUGGCACUCCUGUAAUACAAGUCAUGCCAUCUCACACACCUCACUGUAUGCACGAUUACUCCAUAACUAUUCACUAUAAUACAUUUUUUUGUGGAUCAACUGUUUGAAUGCUUAGGAAUGUUCACCACCACUGCCUUUAACAGAUAGCCAGCCCAGAUGUCCUCUAACUCCCACACAAGUCCUGCUCUCACUUACAUGAAUUUCCCACAUCCCUUCUCUAACAUAACAGCAGGUUUAGCUCGGUCCUUCUCACUGUCAGACCCAAGCCACCAUUGUCCCCCUACGACUUCCUUCCCUGUCCCAAAGUCCAGCGUCCAAGGUUUUAUUCUGCCACUCUCCUACUCAAUUUUUCCCUGUCACCAUCUUUGUAUAGUUUCAAUUCUUAUCUCUUCCCUCAGUCCACCAGUUUUUCCUACUCCAUCCUGUCCCCUUAACCCGGUAUCAGCAACGGGCCAAAUUUGUAGCUUUACCGUGUAGCAGUGACGGGCCAAAUUUGUGGCUUUACUGUGUAGCAGCGACGGGCCAAAUUUGUGGCUUUACCGUGUAGCAGUGACGGGCCAAAUUUGUGGCUUUACUGUGUAGCAGUGACGGGCCAAAUUUGUGGCUUUAC